CUUUAUUAUUUUAACAAAUAUUUUUAUCUAAGUUUUAGAAAUGUAGAGUCAUUUUGGAAGGAGAGUUCUAGCUGAACACCUCUAUUUACUGGAUGGCAGCUACAUAAAAUGCAGCCUGAAAGGUUAAGAAGGAAAAGAGCUCCUGAAGGUCUGGCCUUGUCACCUGAAGCCUAUAAUGUAAGGAGAAAAGUCACAGAAUCAAUGCAAGAGUAGAAAAUUCAUGACCGGAAGCAUUAGGAUGCACAAAGAGGACCAAAUCUAAAGCUCAGUUACAGAGGAAGAACAGGACUGCUGCCACUUUGCAAACAUUUCAAGAGGUCACCCUCUGUGGGGAGGAUGAAGUCAACAAGAUGAAUCUCCUCAGAGUAAUUGCUGGAUAGUGUUGACGAACGCUUGAAUCACGUCACCAGACUGCAGCUGUACUGACAGCGGACUCCUAGCUGUCCUGCAUACACCCACUGUUGCUUUUGCCCUCCUAGGACGCGGCCAGGCUCCUGGAGACCUGGACAGCUGAAGCCGUAGACCCAGAACAUGGUCUCUCCCACGGCAGAAAACCUGGUUGUGGGCUCUGCUUUGAAAUUCCCUCUUGCAACACCAGACCCGCCACUGAGCACCAGCCGUAAAUGAAAGCAAAAGCUAGAGUUCAGGCGGAAGCAGAAAGUAAAUACACGGCCUUGGCUGACCCUUUCAGGGAUAGAUUGUUCCAUUUAUAACAGAGACUAAAACAGAAAAAAACCCACUGGAGGUGGUCACGGCUGAAACAGUGUUUCUAGCAUCUUCGGGGUCACUACUCAGUAACUUAUUUCAAAUCGUUUUGAAUGGUGAGUUCUCACAUCCAGGUGUUCCUCUGCCUCACCUGUUUACAAAUGUCCUUACCAGUUUUUAUUCCAUUAGGCCUCAGCAUAGAAAAGUAACAAGCAUCUCAGGCUUCAGGGUUUUGAUUUUUAAAACGAACAAAAUAAAAAAGAGGCCAACAA